UUAUAGGCCUCACUUCUUUACUUCGAUCGGGACUCGUUCUUCAACAUAUUGAAGAGCAAGAUUACAGUGCGAUCUAAUCGUGCUGAUCUGAUCUAGUCAGAUCAAGACCACCAAGAAGAGGAAGAAGAUCCUUCUUCUUCUCUUCUUCUCUCUCUAAUCUCUCUCUCUAAGAUCCCAUUUAGAGAGAGAUGGGGCAUUGGGAUGAGGAACAAGGCAGAAGGGGGCG
rnacentral:lncRNA from 1 species